rnacentral:rRNA from 1 species
AGUGAACGCUGGCGGUAGGCCUAACACAUGCAAGUCGAACGGCAGCACAGUAAGAGCUUGCUCUUACGGGUGGCGAGUGGCGGACGGGUGAGGAAUACAUCGGAAUCUACUUUUUCGUGGGGGAUAACGUAGGGAAACUUACGCUAAUACCGCAUACGACCUACGGGUGAAAGCAGGGGAUCUUCGGACCUUGCGCGAUUGAAUGAGCCGAUGUCGGAUUAGCUAGUUGGCGGGGUAAAGGCCCACCAAGGCGACGAUCCGUAGCUGGUCUGAGAGGAUGAUCAGCCACACUGGAACUGAGACACGGUCCAGACUCCUACGGGAGGCAGCAGUGGGGAAUAUUGGACGAUGGGCGCAAGCCUGAUCCAGCCAUACCGCGUGGGUGAAGAAGGCCUUCGGGUUGUAAAGCCCUUUUGUUGGGAAAGAAAAGCAGCAGGUUAAUACCCCGCUGUUCUGACGGUACCCAAAGAAUAAGCACCGGCUAACGUCG